rnacentral:pre_miRNA from 1 species
CAUGCACCAGUGGGGUCCCUCGGCUUGGCCUGUGCCCUCUCACAAUCCAGGACUCCUCAGGGGAUGUCGGAUUGCCAGUUUCGGCCCAAUCCCCGCAGGCCAGGCCGAGGGACCCCACUGGUGCACG